rnacentral:misc_RNA from 1 species
AAGUCGUAACAAGGUCUCCGUUGGUGAACCAGCGGAGGGAUCAUUACUGAGUUAUUAAAACUCCAAACCCUUUGUGAACCUUACUGUCGUUGCCUCGGCGUGAGCUACGGCUACCCUGUAGUUACCCUAUAGCUACCCUGCAGCUACCCUAUAGUUGACAUGUAGCUACCCUGUAGCCGGCUUAUGGCCCGCCGAAGGACCGCUAAACUCUUGUUUUUUUACCACUGUUUCUCUGAAUUGUAAACUUAAAUAAGUUAAAACUUUCAACAACGGAUCUCUUGGUUCUG